UACGUAGGGGCCGAGCGUUGUUCGGAGUUAUUGGGCGUAAAGCGCGCGCAGGCGGCCUCGCGCGCCCGACGUGAAAGCCCCCGGCUUAACCGGGGAGGGUCGUUGGGGACGGCGGGGCUUGAGGGCGGGAGAGGUCGGUGGAAUUCCCGGUGUAGUGGUGAAAUGCGUAGAGAUCGGGAGGAACACCUGUGGCGAAGGCGGCCGACUGGGCCGACCCUGACGCUGAGGCGCGAAGGCGUGGGGAGCGAACGGG
rnacentral:rRNA from 1 species